AGUGAACGCUGGCGGUAGGCCUAACACAUGCAAGUCGAACGGCAGCACAGUAAGAGCUUGCUCUUACGGGUGGCGAGUGGCGGACGGGUGAGGAAUACAUCGGAAUCUACUUUUUCGGGGGGGUUAAGGAGGGGAAACUUAGGCUAUAACCGCAUACGACCUCCGGGUGAAAGCAGGGGACUUUCGGCCCUUGCCGGAUUGAUUGAGCCGAUGUCGGAUUAGCUAGUUGGCGGGGUAAAGGCCAACCAAGGCGACGAUCCGUAGCUGGUCUGAGAGGAUGAUCAGCCACACUGGAACUGAGACACGGUCCAGACUCCUACGGGAGGCAGCAGUGAGGAAUAUUGGACAAUGGGCGCAAGCCUGAUCCAGCCAUACCGCGUGGGUGAAGAAGGCCUUCGGGUUGUAAAGCCCUUUUGUUGGGAAAGAAAAGCAGCAGGUUAAUACCCCGCUGUUCUGACGGUACCCAAAGAAUAAGCACCGGCUAACUUCGUG
rnacentral:rRNA from 1 species